rnacentral:rRNA from 1 species
CUUAGUAGCGGCGAGUGAAGCGGCAAAAGCUCAAAUUUGAAAUCUGGCUCUUUCAGAGUCCGAGUUGUAAUUUGAAGAAGGUAUCUUUGGGUCUGGCUCUUGUCUAUGUUUCUUGGAACAGAACGUCACAGAGGGUGAGAAUCCCGUGCGAUGAGAUGAUCCAGGCCUAUGUAAAGUUCCUUCGAAGAGUCGAGUUGUUUGGGAAUGCAGCUCUAAGUGGGUGGUAAAUUCCAUCUAAAGCUAAAUAUUGGCGAGAGACCGAUAGCGAACAAGUACAGUGAUGGAAAGAUGAAAAGAACUUUGAAAAGAGAGUGAAAAAGUACGUGAAAUUGUUGAAAGGGAAGGGCUUGAGAUCAGACUUGGUAUUUUGUAUGUUACUUCUUCGGGGGUGGCCUCUACAGUUUAUCGGGCCAGCAUCAGUUUGGGCGGUAGGAGAAUUGCGUUGGAAUGUGGCACGGCUUCGGUUGUGUGUUAUAGCCUUCGUCGAUACUGCCAGCCUAGACUGAGGACUGCGGUUUAUACCUAGGAUGUUGGCAUAAUGAUCUUAAGUCGCCCGUCUUGAAACACGGACC